UUCUGGCUCAGAUUGAACGCUGGCGGCGUGCUUAACACAUGCAAGUCGAACGCGAAAGGGACUUCGGUCCUGAGUAAGUGGCGCACGGGUGAGUAACGCGUGGAUAAUCUGCCCUUAUGAUCGGGAUAACAGUUGGAAACGGCUGCUAAUACCGGAUACGCUCAAAAUGAACUUUUUGAGGAAAGAUGGCCUCUGCUUGCAUGCUAUCGCGUAAGGAUGAGUCCGCGUCCCAUUAGCUUGUUGGCGGGUAACGGCCCACCAAGGCAACGAUGGGUAGCCGAUUUGAGAGGAUGAUCGGCCACACUGGAACUGAAACACGGUCCAGACUCCUACGGGAGGCAGCAGUGGGGAAUAUUGCGCAAUGGGCGAAGGCCUGACGCAGCGACGCCGCCGUGAGGGAUGAAGGUUUUCGGAUCGUAAACCUCCGUCAGAAGGGAAGAAACUACGUUGUGCUAAUCAGCAGCGUACUGACGGUACCUUCAAAGGAAGCACCGGCUAACUCCGUGCCAGCCGCGGC
rnacentral:rRNA from 1 species